AUUGAACGCUGGCGGCAUGCUUUACACAUGCAAGUCGAACGGCAGCGCGGGCUUCGGCCUGGCGGCGAGUGGCGAACGGGUGAGUAAUGCAUCGGAACGUGCCCAGUAGUGGGGGAUAGCCCGGCGAAAGCCGGAUUAAUACCGCAUACGACCUGAGGGUGAAAGCGGGGGACCGAAAGGCCUCGCGCUAUUGGAGCGGCCGAUGUCGGAUUAGCUAGUUGGUGGGGUAAAGGCUUACCAAGGCGACGAUCCGUAGCUGGUCUGAGAGGACGACCAGCCACACUGGGACUGAGACACGGCCCAGACUCCUACGGGAGGCAGCAGUGGGGAAUUUUGGACAAUGGGGGCAACCCUGAUCCAGCCAUGCCGCGUGCGGGAAGAAGGCCUUCGGGUUGUAAACCGCUUUCGCCUGUGACGAAGCGUGAGUGACGGUAAUGGGUAAAGAAGCACCGGCUAACUACGUG
rnacentral:rRNA from 1 species